GGGCCGAGUGGUUAAGGCGGCAGACUCGAAUUGCCUUAAUUGGUUAAACCGUCAUCUGCUGGGUUCGCGUAAGUAUCCUACAGUGUUCCUGUCGUAACGUUUGAGAACUAACAAGUACCUAGCCGCACAGGUUCAAAUCCUGUAGCU